GUGGGUAACCUACCCCGGGGACUGGUAUAGCCCUUCGAGAGAAGGGGUAAUCCCGGGCGACGUGUCGAGGGGGCAUCUCCUUGCCACCAAAUGAAUUUCGCCCCGGGAGGGGCCCACGUGAUAUUAGCUAGUUGGUAGGGUAACGGCCUACCAAGGCGAAGAUGUCUAGCGGGUGUGAGAGCACGACCCGCGCCACUGGCACUGAGACACUGGCCAGACACCUACGGGUGGCUGCAGUCGAGGAUCUUCGGCAAUGGGCGCAAGCCUGACCGAGCGACGCCGCGUGGGCGAUGAAGGCCUUCGGGUUGUAAAGCCCUGUCGAGGGGGAGAAAAUUUGAUCUAUCCCUGGAGGAAGCACGGGCUAAGUUCGUGCCAGCAGCCGCGGUAAGACGAACCGUGCGAACGUUGUUCGGAAUCACUGGGCUUAAAGGGCGCGUAGGCGGGCUGCCAAGUCCGCGGUGAAAUCCCCCGGCUCAACCGGGGAACUGCCGCGGAUACUGGAAGUCUC
rnacentral:rRNA from 1 species